AGUGUGAACACUACUGAUGGAUGGGUUCGUUCCAGUCCUCAGGAAAUCGCUGGACUCCAGUGAAAUUUAUGGAUUGAUCCAGGAAGUAAGAGAGAAGCAGAGUUCAGUGUAUCAUUAAAGUCACUACAGGAAGAAGGUCUUUUACACAGUCAACCUUACAG